rnacentral:pre_miRNA from 12 species
GGUGCUUGGAGAGAGGUCUUCCAUGAUGCAUUCGCUGGCAUUGGGUUCGAAUCAUACAUGGAUGACCUUUUUUUAAGUAAC